UCAACAAGACAACAUAACAAUUCUAAAUAUUUAUGCACCUAACACAGGAGUACCCAGAUUCAUAAAGCAAACCCUACUAGAUCUAGACAAAGAUAUAAACAGCAUCCUAAUUGCCAGGGACUUCAGUACUCCAUUGACAGAACUGGAUGGAUCAUCCAGGUAGAAAAUAAUCAAACACUGGAGUUAGAAGGGACUCUAGAGCAAAUGGGCCUAACAGACAUUUACAGAAUAUUUUACCUAAAAACUACCAAAUAGAGUCGCGAGCGAGGGACCCUGAGAUUGUACGACUGCACGAGCGAAGCAAUGCCUAAGUCAAAGGAACUUGUUUCUUCAAGCUCUUCUGGCAGUGAUUCUGACAGCGAAGCUGACAAAAAGUUAAAGAGGAAAAAGCAAGUUGCUCCAGAAAAACCUGUGAAGAAGCAAAAAACUGGUGAAACUUCAAGAGCUCUGUCAUCUUCCAAGCAGAGCAGCAGCAGCAGAGAUGAUAACAUGUUUCAGAUUGGGAAAAUGAGGUAUGUUAGUGUUUUAAAGGGAAAGUUCUAAUUGAUAUUAGAGAAUAUUGGAUGGAUCCAGAAGGUGAAAUGAAACCAGGAAGAAAAGGUAUUUCUUUAAAUCCAGAGCAAUGGAGCCAGCUGAAGGAACAGAUUUCCGACAUUGAUGAUGCAGUAAGAAAACUGUAAAAUUCGAGCCAUAUAAAACCUGUACUGUUCUAGUUGUUUUAAUCUGUCUUUUUACAUUGGUUUUUGUUUUCUAAAUGUUGUUUUCCAAGCUAUUGUAUGUUUGGAUUGCAGAACAAUUUGUAAGAUGAAUACUUUUUUUUUUUAAUGUGCAUUAUUAAAAAUGUUCUGAGUGAAGCUAAUUGUCAUGUUUAUCAAGGAGGAUUGCUUUGUGCCCACCACCUAGUGUAAAAUAAAAUGGAAUAAUACAA